rnacentral:rRNA from 1 species
UUGACCUCGGAUCAGGUAGGGAUACCCGCUGAACUUAAGCAUAUCAAUAAGCGGAGGAAAAGAAACCAACAGGGAUUGCCUUAGUAACGGCGAGUGAAGCGGCAACAGCUCAAAUUUGAAAUCUGGCCUCUUUGGGGUCCGAGUUGUAAUUUGGAGAGGAUGUUUCGGGUACGGUCCGGGCUUAAAUUUCUUGGAACAGAAUGUCACAGAGGGUGAGAAUCCCGUCUGGAGUCUGCGACACGGCCUAUGUGAAACUCCUUCGACGAGUCGAGUUGUUUGGGAAUGCAGCUCUAAAUGGGUGGUAAAUUUCAUCUAAAGCUAAAUAUUGGCCAGAGACCGAUAGCGCACAAGUAGAGUGAUCGAAAGAUGAAAAGCACUUUGAAAAGAGAGUUAAACAGUACGUGAAAUUGUUGAAAGGGAAGCGCUGGCAACCAGACUUGCGCGUCGGGGUUCCCCCUUGCUUCUGCCUGGGUUACUCCCCGGCGUUCAGGCCAACAUCGGUUUUGGGGGUCGGUUAAAGGCCUUGGGAAUGUACCUACCUCUCGGGGUAGACUUAUAGCCCAGGGUGUCAUGCGACCUCCCGGGACCGAGGAACGCGCUUCGGCUCGGAUGUUGGCGUAAUGGUUGUCAGCGACCCGUCUUGAAACACGGACCAAGGAGUCUAACAUCUAUGCGAGUGUUAGGGUGUCAAACCCUUACGCGGAAUGAAAGUGAACGGAGGUAGGAAGCCGUAACAACGCUGCACUAUCGACCGAUCCUGAAGUUUACGGAUGGAUUUGAGUAAGAGCAUAGCUGUUGGGACCCGAAAGAUGGUGAACUAUGCCUGAAUAGGGUGAAGCCAGAGGAAACUCUGGUGGAGGCUCGCAGCGGUUCUGACGUGCAAAUCGAUCGUCAAAUUUGGGUAUAGGGGCGAAAGACUAAUCGAAC